rnacentral:lncRNA from 1 species
CGGCGGUUCAUGGAAAAAACGUGUGGCAUGCGUAUUAAGACACCGAUAGGGGCUGUGAUAAAACAGGACUGUCCUACUUUUUUAGACACGGAGGAUACAGCAUACACUGUGCCCUUCUCAACUAGCGAUUAGAGAUUUUUGUCGACAAAUUAUUUGAUUCUUAAAUGUUAAAUUAUGUAGUUAAUCACAUCGGUCAACAUCUGUAUAAGGUCAUCCAUAUUUUCAUCGGCAUUGAAGAUAGACCUCUUGGAAUCAUUCUUACUUUCAAAUAUUAUUACUCAAACAGUAAUUCAGUGUUUAUUGUGAUUUUCCAUCCGAUUUUCGCAUGUCAUACACGCGGGAUGAUUUGUGAUUUUGCGACUAUUUCUAUUAUAGUUAUCGUGAAUAUUUUAAUUCCUUCCUCCGGAACUUCGCUUGUGACAUUCAAUUUUGACAACGAUGAUACGGGGACCGUCAAAUAUUUUCUCAACAAUACUAACUUGGCAAAUCUACCAUACAAGUUCAUUGACAGAGACAUCCUGAGGAAGGCCAUCUUCAGGGCUGGAAGGGGUUUAUCCGUUUCCCGCCAGACCUGUAUCAAUGGGAACAAGAACUCGAGAACCGUCGACGAGCAAGAGGAAAAACUCUCAUAUUCCGUGAGGAUGUUGCUUUGAAUCUACACCACUCUAUCUGGCAUAUCAUCCAUCCGGUUGACCCCCAUCUCAUCAAUUCUUUGGUUCCAACACACUCGGAUAGGCGAGGGGAAUUAUUCGGUUACAUGCAUUCCCAACUUUUAGCUCGGUACGUAUUGCGGUAUUUACGAUCACUGAAAAAAGAAGUAUUACAAUCAUAUAUAUAAGCUCCAAGACCUCCUAAAGUUGCGUAUCUGGUAACGCUUAGUUCCAGCGUUCUACCGGGCCGAUUUCCAUGAUUUUUGCGGCGAUCGACGGGCAAUUAUCUCUAGAUGAGCCCGCUGCUGUUCAGAUUUUCAAAAUAUGACCCAGGUUUUUUUAUAUUACAUGGUAAAGUUGCGAAUUUUCCCAGUUAAGCAAUGUAAAUUUAUAUUUUUUGUCAUAGUUCGUUUGAUCGUUCUACUGGGCCGAUUCCCAUGAUUUUGCGGUAAUCAAUAGAUGAUAGGCCCUAAA